UUUCUCCCAUGGUGCCAAUUUUGCUACAGCAGGAUCAACAAUCCAACGACAAAAUACAACUUUAUUUCAAACUGGGUACAGCCCCUUCUCCUUGGAUGUGCAGUCCUGGCAGUAUGCACAGUUCAAAUCUAGGUCGCAGAUAGCUUACAAGAAAGGCAAGUACCAGAGAUAUACCUUUAGCUCGACUGAGUGAUCCCCUUGUGAUGAUGUACAAACUUGCCAAUUAAUCUUUGGUUGUUCUCUGCAGGAGUCUUCAAAGAUGAAUUACCUCCAGAGGACUACUU
rnacentral:lncRNA from 1 species